CGUCUGUUCAUUCCGUCAAGUCAUUUGUCGUGAAUUUUUGCCCGUAAUAUAUUAUCCAGUUCAUUCCCGCCAUCGUCACCGAUUCCGUCUUCAGAUUCUCCGGAAACCGAGGGAUCUUUCGCAACGUCAGACGGAUUGAUUCUGGUUCGAUCAACUUUCUUACACAGGAAGCACCGAACCUGAUCGCGGUCUCGCGGUGUUCGCGGUAUCAUUGGAUGAUCAAAAAGAUGUGCUAACGAGUCGUGGCACGAGCUGGUAGCAGAGCGGUUAUGUUUGCAGUGCAAUCAGGUGGCGGCGCUAAAGAGGAAGAGGCUCCUCGCACCUUCCUGAUAACGAGAUGUGCCGCUACGUUGAAGCAGUCAUACUCUCUUUUACGCGUCGAGGGCUGCUACCUUCUUUCGACUUGCAAACCGAGUUGCACGUUCUGCUAACAGAUCGUUGUUAUCUACGUUGCUGUAUCAAGCAAAAAGCUGUUUUCUACGCAGAUGAAAAUGGCUGCCAGUUUUAGAAGUCACAUCCUCACGUAUGUUUGUAUACACUUAACACGACUGUAUUACACAGUCACCUGUGUACGUAGCUGGAAAGCACCCGAUAUACAUAUUGUGACAUCUUCUUCUAAUAUCAUCGCAUUGACAUCUGCGUUGUUAACUUUAAGAAUUUUGCGGAUUUAUUCGAUUAUAUUUGAUCAAGGAAACUUAAUCAUACGUGCAAGAAUGAGACAGAAAUAUUAAAUGAAUGUAUUAUGUAUAUAAAAUUAGCGCGAUGAUUUUAAUUACAAUAACAACUGAUUUUUAAAAAUACAUAGAAAAAUAUACUUAGAUAUUAUAUUGGAUAAAAAUAUUCUCAUACUUAAACACUUUGAAAAUAACUCAAUCUCAAUUUCCAAAGCCUUUGUUUUUGUCUAGAAUUGUUAAUACCGCUAUUGUUAGUAGAACAAGUGUAAAUAUUUAUUUAAUGGGGUGAUUCAAUGUCUUUUCUGUGUGCCAGCAGGUUAAAAUCCCGGCUCGCGAGGUAGCUUCUUACAAUUACGACGCCAUCACAUUUACACGCCGCGAUAUUGCGCAUAACGCGACUUUUGCGUGAUAACGGUUAUCGCACAAAAUUUAUUGUCAGCAAACAGACCUCUUUCUUCGAGGAACUUCCUACUCUUUAAACACAAUGUUACGUAAAGCGAUUAAAAUAUCAACAAUUAAUUAUUGUACAUAUGUAUGAACAUGUAAAUUGAUAUAUAUUUGAUGCUUUCGCGGUAUAUUGUAUUGACAUUUGAAGAUAUUUUUCGGAUUUAAACUGCGUUAAUGUCAUAUUUAUAUCGACGUUUUGAUACCUAAUACUCGAAUUGCUCUUGAAACCCUGAUGAAGUGAACUGAAAUGUUCACAAAACGUCGGUAUAAAAACCCGAAAAACAUCAUCAAAUGUUAA